ACAGCCGAAAAUGAAAGUUCACUGCUUGAACUGAUUGCCCCAAAUUAUUUUUGCCUUUGUGUUCAGCCAUUGUUGUCAUAUUCAGCAAGGAGCGCAUCGUGAAAUUGUGAAUUUAUGGAGCGAUAAUUUUCUUCAGACCUUCCCUUCGACGUAUACUUUUUGAAAACAAAAAAGAGUGGAACGACAUCCGGAUCUGCCUCCAGUGAAUUGGAAAUAAUUCAACAAAACCUAUACCGAAAGCGAAAAAGGUCUUAAAACAUAGACCACUGCAAUUCAACAAACUAUGGGCUAGCAUUUGGAACGAAUGCUCAAAGAGCAAGCCGGAACAAUGGAAGAAAUAAUGGGCAACCCUCUCGUCGAAAGACUUUUUUCUACAGAUGUAACAUCCGGAUCUGCCUCCAGUGGAUUUGAGACAAUCUCACGCAAGGAUAAUCUUGUCAAGCAGUGUGCAAGGUGGCUUAGCAAACAUGUCUGGGCAGAGAGCAUAAGAACCUAUUCUUCUAUUCACGAACACGUC